AUUGAACGCUGGCGGCAGGCCUAACACAUGCAAGUCGAACGAGUGGCGGACGGGUGAGUAAUGUCUGGGAAACUGCCUGAUGGAGGGGGAUAACUACUGGAAACGGUAGCUAAUACCGCAUACCAUCAGAUGUGCCCAGCGGGGAUUAGCUUGUUGGUGGGGUAAAGGCUAACCAGGGCGACGAUCCCUAGCUGGUCUGAGAGGAGGACCAGCCACACUGGAACUGGAAAACGGCCCAGAUUCCUACGGGAGGAAGCAGUGGGGAAUAUUGCACAAUGGGCGAAAGCCGGAUGAAGCAAGGCGGGGGGGAUGAAGAAGGCCUUCGGGUGGUAAAGUACUUUCAGCGGGGAGGCGUUACCCGAAGAAGAAGCACCGGCUAACUCCGUGCCAGCAGCCGCGGUAAUAC
rnacentral:rRNA from 1 species